CCUACGGGCGGCUGCAGUGGGGAAUAUUGGACAAUGGGGGGAACCCUGAUCCAGCGACGCCGCGUGAGUGAAGAAGUAUUUCGGUAUGUAAAGCUCUAUCAGCAGGGAAGAAAAUGACGGUACCUGACUAAGAAGCCCCGGCUAACUACGUGCCAGCAGCCGCGGUAAUACGUAGGGGGCAAGCGUUAUCCGGAUUUACUGGGUGUAAAGGGAGCGUAGACGGCGGUGCAAGUCAGAUGUGAAAGCCCGGGGCUCAACCCCGGGACUGCAUUUGGAACUGUGCUGCUAGAGUGUCGGAGAGGCAGGCGGAAUUCCUAGUGUAGCGGUGAAAUGCGUAGAUAUUAGGAGGAACACCAGUGGCGAAGGCGGCCUGCUGGACGAUGACUGACGUUGAGGCUCGAAAGCGUGGGGAGCAAACAGGAUUAGAUACCCGAGUAGUC
rnacentral:rRNA from 1 species